rnacentral:misc_RNA from 1 species
UUUUUAAUUUUUGUUUAUUAAACUCGGACAACAAAAUAUUCAAGAGUUUUAAUUUCCUCUGGCGGGAGUUGGAAAAGCUUAGAAAAAAGCUUACUACCCGCCAAAGCAACAAAAGUCAAGUACAACAAAGGGUUGAAAGGUUUACCCCCAAAAAAGAGGGCAUAACUCUAUUAAUGAUCCUUCCGCAGGUUCACCUACGGAAA